AGCGGCGGACGGGUGAGUAACGCGUGGGUAGCCUGCCUCAUACAGGGGGAUAACAGUUGGAAACGGCUGCUAAUACCGCAUAAGCGCACAGUACCGCAUGGUACGGUGUGAAAAACUCCGGUGGUAUGAGAUGGACCCGCGUCUGAUUAGGUAGUUGGUGGGGUAACGGCCUACCAAGCCGACGAUCAGUAGCCGACCUGAGAGGGUGACCGGCCACAUUGGGACUGAGACACGGCCCAA
rnacentral:rRNA from 1 species